CAAAGAGACACCACAAGUUAACACAGACAAACCACACCACCAUGACAGACUAAAAAAAAGGCGGGGGAACUCGGAAAUGAAUACUGUCGAGGAAAAAGAAUAUGAUCUCUCUCUUUCUCUCUAAAAAAAGAUGGCCGUGAAAAACAAGAGAUUAGAAGAGGGAGAAAAUAGGUCGCCCGCAGCAAGUUAACACAAGCAACACACGACCUCUAGGGAACCACAAGAUUGCAAGCACCAGUUAUCAAAGAGCUAGAGAACCACUGAUGAAGUUUGGCUCAUUUGAACACCCUAAGAGAUUUAAAAAGUAAAACAUUGAUAAGAUUUCGCUCAUUUGAAGAUCCUAAUGUUAGCUAAACACUGAAAAUUUGGCUCAUAUGAAGAUCUUUGGAGUUAUUUAUAUCAAAGCUGGAAAAAGGAAACUGAUAGAAUCCAACUCAUUUCAACAUCCUACAAGUUAUUUGCUAAAGGAUAAAAAAUGGAAAAUGUUAGUUUGGCUCAUUUGAAUAUCCUGGGUUACUUAUUAAAAAAAAGUUAGAAAAUCAUUUGAUAAAGUUAGGCUUAUUCAAACAUCUCAAGAGUUAAUAUGUCUUGCGAUUCUAGUCCAUUAGAUUCCUUGCUACAAGACUUAGGACUAUUAUAUAUUAGAGUUUCAUAGAAUAUAUUUAAUGGCACAAGCUAGAUUUUCAAUUCAAUACAUUUACUGUCGAAACAUUACACACACACACACAAAAAAGUAGCGAUCUAUAUAUUUUCGGCCAUGGUGGUGCUUGUGGUCUGCAUGUUUUUAGAGGACUUGAUUAUCAUAUUUAAUUUUUUUAGUCAUAUGGGUUCAAGUAACGGCCUAUUUAUAUGAAGUUAUCUGCAUAUUUCCAGUUGUAAAUAUCCUAAUACAUAAAGGUGCCAUAUCAUUCUCUCGAGGGAAAGCAUAUCACACACAGCUUUUUUGCCCGAUAUUCUCAAACAUUUCAGGGCCUGCACACCCAUGUUUGAUAAGGCUUUCAUAGAGUUUGUGUUAGUUGUAUAUCCACAGGUAGUUUUAUGAGCCUAGUGAUAGUUUGACAAGGCUCUACAUGCACUCACAUUUGGAAAGGCUUUGAUAGAGGUUGUGUCGGUAUGUCCCUGGGUAGUUUUAUGAGCCUAGUGAUAGUUUGACAAGGCUCUACAUGCACUCACAUUUGGAAAGGCUUUGAUAGAGGUUGUGUUGGUAAUCCCAUGGGUAGUUUUAUGAGCCUAGUGAUAGUUUGACAAGGCUCUACUCACACUCACAUUUGGAAAGGCUUUGAUAGAGGUUGUGUUGGUAAUCCCAUGGGUAGUUUUAUGAGCCUAGUGAUAGUUUGACAAGGCUCUACAUACACUCACAUUUGGAAAGGCUUUGAUAGAGGUUGUGUCGGUAUGUCCCUGGGUAGUUGUAUGAGCCUAGUGAUAGUUUGACAAGGCUCUACAUACACUCACAUUUGGAAAGGCUUUGAUAGAGGUUGUGUUGGUAAUCCCAUGGGUAGUUUUAUGAGCCUAGUGAUAGUUUGUCAAGGCUUCUGCACCAUGAACGUAAAGAAGCACUCAUGAGAACCCAACUAAUCUCCUUUGUGGCCUUGGGAAAGAGUUUGACAAGGCUAUCGUAUAGGUUGUGUCGGUAUGUCCAUGGGUAGUUUUAUGAGCCUAGUGAUAGUUUGACAAGACUUCUGCACCAAGAACGUUAAGAAACACUCAUGUGAACCCGACUCAUCUCCUUCGUGGCCUUGGGUAACAGUUAUCGUGAGACCCAAAAGUGUCUGAGAAUACGGGCCUUUGUAGUACUCCUGUUUUUCAUCGAGGGAGAAGGAAGGAAGCGUCAUUCAUAGCAUUAAUAUAUCGCCUCAUCUACGCACACUCUGUACCUGCUGCCGCAUAUGUUGUGACUCCUCGGUAGAGUCACAACCGUUCACGCAAUGAGGUGGAUCCAGGGAGAACACGCAAGGGGGCAUGUUUGGGGUUCUUGGAUGUAACUGCUGUGUUAUAAGCCUUCCAGUGAGAGCUCAUAACGGAGGAAGCUAAACAAAACUGAACCGAGGGAUAUUUCUGCCUGUUUUCAGCCUUACAAAUGGUUAUCAAAUCAGGAAAAAAAUUAUAUGAGAAACUAACUAACUGGGGGAUAAAAGUGAGGGAUAUUUCUGCCAGUUUUCAGCCUUACAAAUUAUAUGAGAAACUAACUAACUAAAAUGAGAGAUAUAAAAGUGUGGUUUUGCAGAAAUUAAGUUGGAUUACAAUGCUUUAUUUUUACUUGAGUUAGAUAGUCAGUGUGUCUCCAGCCUUCCAACUAUAAUAGAAGAAUGAUUAUAUUAGGGAAAGCUACUUAACCCAGCAGCAGCGCGGAUCAUGUUUCUUAAUGGUCCCUCCAAGCGAGAAAAAUGAGUAAAAAUCACCCCUCACACAAACCAUUUCAUAAUAUACAUCAAAGCAUUUGUUAUCAGAUUAUGUAUCAGCUAUUUUUGGGGGUUUAUAUCAAGGCACAAAUUUGACCCGUCGCUGCUACACGGUAAAGCCACAAAUAUGGCCCGUCACUGCUACACGGUAAAGCCACAAAUUUGGCCCGUCACUGCUACACGGUAAAGCCACAAAUUUGGCCCGUCACUGCUACACGGUAAAGCCACAAAUUUGGCCCGUCACUGCUACACGGUAAAGCCACAAAUUUGGCCCGUCGCUGCUACACGGUAAAGCCACAAAUUUGGCCCGUCGCUGCUACACGGUAAAGCCACAAAUUUGGCCCGUCGCUGCUACACGGUAAAGCCACAAAUUUGGCCCGUCGCUGCUACACGGUAAAGCCACAAAUUUGGCCCGUCGCUGCUACCAGGUUAAAGGCUAAACUUAGGGAUAGAAGUGAAGUAUUAUGGAAAUUAACAUCCAUUACCACACUUCAUUUUUACAAGGGUUAACUUUUCACUUUUUUUUUUGAGGGGGGGUGAAUUUUUUUACAGGUAUUUUUAUUUCCUUUCCCAGGUUCAGUUCAAGGUAUUUUUUCCAUUCUUGAUAUGAGUGAGUACCCAGCCAAGUCUGUGCCAUAUUUUCUUCCUCCCGUACAAUACGAUUCUUGCCAUCAACUAACUGACUGAGAUUAUUAUACUUUGUUAUCUCAGUUAUUAUACCAUCCAAGGCUCAGCAGGGCAGCAUAGUGACUGAUAGAGCAGAGAUAAAAGACCAAUGCUAUAUACCUUUCAUUUAUUAGAUGUACAUUUUUCUAUACUCAAAGCCUGGUCUUGAUCUUGAUAACUAAUGUGCAGGGCAUCUGUGUAGGUGCAUAACACGCAUAUAAGUAAUAUUAGUAAUGAUCUGCCCUGCACGGGGGGGGGAGGCUGUUUUAUCACGUACACUGUAAUUACCUUCUAUUACAUGGUCUUGUGACAUGGAUAAUGUUUAAUAGCCCCGGUAGGGGACUCCAGCAGCCAUGCCAUUUUGCCACAAACAACCCUCUUGCUAACCCUCUGCACUUGUCUGAUGACCAAUGAACCCAGCGCCCUGGAUCCCCCUCCCACGAGUGUAUUGGGCUGUAUGAUAAACUGACGGAGCUCUCUGAUACAAGAACUGUCAGGCACAACGGUCAUUAUUAUUAUUUUUUAUUUACGUGUUCGCCUAUAGCCCCGGUAGACUUUCUUCAGGGGCCUGGUGUUCGGCCCAAGCCCAUCAUGGCGCAAGCAAUUUUUAUAGUAGCGCCAUUUAUGCUUGGCUCAUGCUGCCCCCCGGAACUCAUUCUUGAUUCACUUGGACGGUUUCUUCUAGAGUCCGGGUUGAUGGGUGGUCUUUAGGACAGCAUGUGGGUAGUCUUACUCUUAGGCCACUCGCCGGUGACUGAAAAAUCCUAGGUGGUAGCGUGCGGUGAAUGCAGGGCCCGCACGCUAACCACUCAGUCACCGCCUACCCAUACCCAAUGCCACACGCGCCCCCUUCAUCCUCCCUCAUUCACUCGACGCUGCCUGGCGCUGGCUGCUACAUUAGUGCUUCAUUAAUGGUCUGUGCACUGCCGCCCAGCGAGGCGUUAACACUAUACUGCCAAUUCAAUUAUUCAGUUAUAGUGAACCAUAAAUACUUAGGGACUUUAAUGAAGAUUCGGAACUGAAUCAUAAAAACGUUUGCUGGAAUGUAACACAUGCACGUGGUUCAUGAGUUGACGUACAGCAAACAGCAGGACCUAACCCUUGACUGUGACGGGCCAGCAGCACGGCCCUCAAGGAUAACUCUUACGCACGUCUUUCAUCACAACCAUUUCCUUUUUUUCUCAGCCGCCCCACCUUACGUCUCACUCAUUUGAUUCACUUUUUUUAUUCAUUCUGCAUCGCCUCAAUUGUUCUCCCUCCACACAGCCUAUUCAAGAGGAAAGCUAGGGGACUUGUUAACUCAAGUGGUUCUCAACCUCGGGGAAAUUCCCUCACCUCGGGAGGAAAUUUCAGGGUUUCAGGAGGGGGUGGGGGGAAUUUGGGUAACAGAAUGGCAGACUCCAACAUUUGUAAUAUUGCUCUCUCUAUUGCCUUCAAGCUCCCCGGGGCAGCAUAAUACGCAGCAAACAUCGGAUACCUGCUGCAGCCUAUUGGACCGUGUGCCACAAGCCAUAGAUAGGGCUGCCACAUUUAUACGCUCUCCCAAGGCCUCAUGCAACAGGUAUCCCCCCCUUCCACCCCCCUCCAAUGAUGUGUAGCCCCUGCAGCCCCGCCUACAGGGGAGGUAGACACGUGGUUUUGAGUCAGGCGAUCUUGAAAUGGGGGAGACAUUCUGACAUACGGUGAAGAGGGAGCACUGCAUGGGCAUAAAAGGUUGAGAGCCACUUGGACUUAAUUAUAUCAUCGUUUCCUCUCCAUCCUUUCCUUUGUCAUCAAUUCUUUCUAUCAUUGUUUCCUAUCUAUAUAAUUUCCUUUAUCAUCUAUUCCUUCAAUCAUCGUUCCUCUGUUAGACACUUUAAUAUAUCAGGCCAGCAGACUAUAUGUAAGUAGAGAGGAAAUUAAUAAAAAAAGUUUGGGUUUGUAAAAGUACUUGACAUAUAUCUUUUACAUUAAUCUGUUGCUGUAUAUUUGGACACUGAAGGCUACCUAUGUGAAUAAAAGUGAAAAACUGAA